rnacentral:rRNA from 1 species
AUUGAACGCUGGCGGCAGGCCUAACACAUGCAAGUCGAGCGGGGUUUUCGGACCUAGCGGCGGACGGGUGAGUAAUGCGUAGGAAGCUGCCCGAUAGAGGGGGAUACCAGUUGGAAACGACUGUUAAUACCGCAUAAUGUCUACGGACCAAAGUGUGGGACCUUCGGGCCACAUGCUAUCGGAUGACGCUACGUGGUAUUAGCUAGUUGGUGAGGUAAUGGAUCACCAAGGCGACGAUCUCUAGCUGGUUUGAGAGGAUGAUCAGCCACACUGGAACUGAGACACGGUCCAGACUCCUACGGGAGGCAGCAGUGGGGAAUAUUGGACAAUGGGCGCAAGCCUGAUCCAGCCAUGCCGCGUGUGUGAAGAAGGCCUUCGGGUUGUAAAGCACUUUCAGCGAGGAGGAAGGGGUGUGUGUUAAUAGUACACACCUUUGACGUUACUCGCAGAAGAAGCACCGGCUAACUCUGUGCCAGCAGCCGCGGUAACAC